rnacentral:rRNA from 1 species
GCAUAAUCAUUUGCCUUUUAAUUGGAGGCUGGUAUGAAUGGAUAUACGAGAUUAAGACUGUCUCUUUUUUAUAUAUAUAAAUUAGUUUUCAGGUGAAGAAACCUGAAUUUUAAUGAAGGACAAAAAGACCCUAUUGAGCUUUAUUUUUACUAGAUAUUUUUGAAUAAAUUACUUUAUAACUUUAUAAAAUUUGGUUGGGGCGACAUAGGAAUACAUAAAUCUUCCUUUAAUAUAAUGAAUUUUUUUCUUAUAAAUGAUCUAUUGAGAUGAUAAAAAGAAUUAGUUACCAUAGGGAUAACAGGCUAAUUUUUCCAGAGAGUUCAAAUUGACGGGAAAGUUUGGCACCUCGAUGUUGGCUUAGAGUAUCCUGUGGGUGUAGCAGCCUACAAGGGUUGGUUUGUUCAACCAUUAAAACUCUA